rnacentral:lncRNA from 1 species
CUAUAUCAAUAUGAGCUGUAUCUACUUGUAAUUCCCAGCACAGAAAGCAUACUAUAAUGAAUGGCCAUUUUUUUUUAAACAUUUUCACCUCUAGCUCUAUCCAUGUCCCAUUCUGCUUUUCUUUCUGUAACAUUCUAGAGAAGGCUCCUGGAAGGAACUGCUCAGCUGGGGACUACACCUUCUUUUUGUUUUGGUACAGAGAGAGACCAGCUGACUGGUUUUCAGAAUGAAAAGAGUCUAGCUGGCAGCCCAAAGAGGUGACUGAGAACUGGCUGUGUAAGAACAGCAGAGCUUCCUGGGAGAAACAGGCUUCAUUUUUCCUGCUUUAAAAAAAAAAUAUGCGAGAACUCCAAUGUUCUGGCAAAAUUAAGGAAACCUGCAAUCAGUUGCUUGGAAAAAAAAACCCAGCAAACCUGUCUGUAGUAAAUUACAUAUUGGGACAAAGCCCCACUGACUCCCGAGGCUGCCUUCCUCCCUGCACCCCACCCUGCUGCCAUCCUUAAGGUAAUGUCCUUCAGACUGCACAAGCUGCAUUUCAGAGACCUGCAGUCCAAACUUGACACCUAAGAACUGUGUCCCUUUAGGUAAGUCUCAUGGCUUUUUGUCUGAGUUUCAUGAUAUUAUUUGUAACAUGACCUUAAAUCUGUUUCUUCAUAUUGAUAUGAGAAAUAAACACACUUUCAUCAGCUUUGUGAGUUUUUUAAUUUUAUGUUUAAAAAUCUCAGCACUAUGUAGGUAUGUGUACAUAGCACUCAGGCACACACAUGCACAUGUGCACUCACACACACACACACACACACACACACACACA